rnacentral:tRNA from 1 species
UCUUUCAUGGUGUAGUGGUUAUCAUUCUCGCUUGUCACGCGGGGGGACCAGGGUUCGAUUCCCUGUGAGAGAG